AAUGCAACUUGCGCCCUCUGGUAUUCCGGAGGGCAUGCCUGUUUGAGUGUCGUGAACACCUCAACCCUCCAAUGUUUUUGCAUUGAAGGUGUUGGUAGUGAGCGCUGCCGGACUUUUGGUCGGCUCGCUUUAAAAUCAUUAGCUGGAUCCAUUCUGACCUGGUUCUACUCGGCGUAAUAAGUUAUUAUCGUCGAGGACGCUUGUCUUUCUAGGCAGGCGGCCACAGUAAGGGUGUUUGAACCGCUUCCAACACGUCUUGCUCUUGUAGCAAACACUUGAACCUCUGACCUCAAAUCAGGCAGGACUACCCGCUGAACUUAA
rnacentral:misc_RNA from 1 species